GGUGCCAUGGCCAAGCGGUAAGGCAAAGGUCUGCAAAACCUUUAUUCCCCAGUUCAAAUCUGGGUGGCACCUCCA
rnacentral:tRNA from 1 species